rnacentral:rRNA from 1 species
UACAGAGGUCCCGAGCGUUGUUCGGAUUCAUUGGGCGUAAAGGGUGCGCAGGCGGCGGGGUAAGUCUGAUGUGAAAUCCUGGAGCUCAACUCCAGAACUGCCUUUGAUACUGAGAGCCUUGAGUUCGGGAGAGGUGAGUGGAACUGCGAGUGUAGAGGUGAAAUUCGUAGAUAUUCGGAAGAACACCAGUGGCGAAGGCGGCCCGCUGGACAUGUAUUGACGCUGAGGUGGCGAAAGCGAUGGGGAGCAAACAGGGAUU